ensembl:misc_RNA
GUGGUCCCAUCUGACUGAAUCCUCUGUUUAUCCACAGACCAAGUACUGCACAGGCUGUACUGGUGCAAGCUUCCCCUGCCCCACCCCACUAAGAGGCCCCACCAUUGAUCUAGGCAGAGCAUAUCUAGGGUUGAGAAGAUAGGUCAGUCUCCGUGGCUCAUCCAGUUAUUGGCUUUU